UACGUAGGGUGCAAGCGUUGUCCGGAAUUAUUGGGCGUAAAGAGCUCGUAGGCGGUCUGUUGCGUCGGCUGUGAAAACCCGGGGCUCAACUCCGGGCCUGCGGUCGAUACGGGCAGGCUAGAGUUCGGUAGGGGAGACUGGAAUUCCUGGUGUACCGGUGAAAUGGACAGAUAUCGGAUAGAACACCAGUGGCGAAGGCGGCCGACUGGGCCGUUCCUGACGCUGAGACCCGAAAGCCAGAGUAGCGAACCGG
rnacentral:rRNA from 1 species